rnacentral:rRNA from 1 species
CACGUAGGGGCCAAGCGUUGUCCGGAUUUAUUGGGCGUAAAGAGCUCGUAGGCGGUUGGGUAAGUCGGGUGUGAAAACUCCAGGCUCAACUUGGAGGCGCCACCCGAUACUGCUCUGACUUGAGUUCGGUAGGGGAGUGGGGAAUUCCUGGUGUAGCGGUGAAAUGCGCAGAUAUCAGGAGGAACACCGGUGGCGAAGGCGCCACUCUGGGCCGAAACUGACGCUGAGGAGCGAAAGCGUGGGUAGCAAACAGG